GAGGGGAGCGGCGCCGCCUGACCUGAGUAGCAGGGAGACGUCCGACCAACGCUUUGUUUUACUCGUGUUGUCCAGCACCGCCGGACGCCAUGCCCACCGACGCCCAAAGCGACGCCCGCUCCUUCCUGACGGAGGAGAUGAUUUCAGAGUUCAAGGCCGCCUUCGACAUGUUCGACACGGACGGCGGUGGCGACAUCAGCACCAAGGAGCUGGGCCAGGUGAUGAGGAUGCUGGGCCAGAACCCAUCCAGGGAGGAGCUGGACGCCAUCAUUGAGGAGGUGGAUGAGGACGGCAGCGGCACCAUCGACUUCGAGGAGUUCUUGGUGAUGAUGGUGCAGCAGCUCAAGGAGGACCAGGCCGGCAAGAGCGAGGAAGAACUUUCGGAAUGCUUCCGGAUCUUCGACAAGAACGGAGACGGCUUCGUGGACCGGGAGGAGUUCGGGGAGAUCCUCCAUCUCACCGGGGAGCCGGUAGUGGAGGAGGACAUCGACGAGAUGUUCGGGGAAGGAGACACCAACAAAGACGGGAAGAUCGAUUUCGAUGAGUUCCUGAAGAUGAUGGAGAACGUCCAGUAGAGCACCGGCUCUACUUUCCUCGGAGAGCACGCCGUCCGGUCUGCACACCUCGCGCAAUUAUGAAUAUGAUGUUGUUUCUGGGACGCCCCCCCCCUCGUAUGAAACCCAGGCGCUCGGCCUGAACUUCAGCCUCCUGUGAGCGGCCUCUACGGGGAGCAUCAGCACCGGUCCCAUGAGGACAGUUUCAGGUAUCUAGCUCAAGUUGACCUCUAGUUGACCUCUCUACCAUCUCAACUCUCUGCCAUCCAUCUUCUCGGCCUCCCGGCACAGAAACCGACGGCGCCCCGCGGCUCGUCCCCCCAGAGGUGAAGCAUCGGAGGCUCGAGGCGGCCGUAGAACCGACUCUCCCUUUGGACCCGGGGUAUAUCGUCUGCAGGCCCCCCACUACUUCUCAAAAAAGCCAUCAUCCCUCCCCCUUUGCUCCCCUCCUCUGCUUCCUAUCCACCUCCUCGGGCCCCUCCCUCCAGGAACCCCCACCGUACAAGGAGCCUCGGGUCGUGUGAGCGUGGGCACUCGACCCCAGCCGCUCUCAGCCUAAAAAUCUGACGGCUAUUC